UACGUAGGGGGCUAGCGUUGUCCGGAUUUAUUGGGCGUAAAGAGCGUGUAGGCGGCCAGGUAGGUCUGCUGUGAAAACUCGAGGCUCAACCUCGAGACGUCGGCGGAAACCAUCUGGCUAGAGUCCGGAAGAGGAGAGUGGAAUUCCUGGUGUAGCGGUGAAAUGCGCAGAUAUCAGGAAGAACACCCGCGGCGAAGGCGGCUCUCUGGGGCGA
rnacentral:rRNA from 1 species